UACGUAGGGUGCAAGCGUUGUCCGGAAUUAUUGGGCGUAAAGAGCUCGUAGGCGGUGUGUCGCGUCGGCCGUGAAAACUUGGGGCUUAACUCUGAGCGUGCGGUCGAUACGGGCAUCACUUGAGUACUGCAGGGGAGACUGGAAUUCCUGGUGUAGCGGUGAAAUGCGCAGAUAUCAGGAGGAACACCGGUGGCGAAGGCGGGUCUCUGGG
rnacentral:rRNA from 1 species